rnacentral:rRNA from 1 species
GAUCCUGGCUCAGGAUGAACGCUAGCUACAGGCUUAACACAUGCAAGUCGAGGGGCAGCAUGACCUAGCAAUAGGUUGAUGGCGACCGGCGCACGGGUGAGUAACACGUAUCCAACCUACCGGUUAUUCCGAGAUAGCCUUUCGAAAGAAAGAUUAAUACCGGAUAGUAUAGCGAGAAGGCAUCUUCUUGUUAUUAAAGAAUUUCGAUAACCGAUGGGGAUGCGUUCCAUUAGUUUGUUGGCGGGGUAACGG